rnacentral:rRNA from 1 species
GAGUUUGAUCAUGGCUCAGGAUGAACGCUAGCGGCAGGCUUAAUACAUGCAAGUCGUGGGGCAGCACAGUAUAGCAAUAUAUGGGGUGGCGACCGGCAAACGGGUGCGUAACACGUACGCAACUUUCCUUCAGGCGGGGAAUAGCCCAGAGAAAUUUGGAUUAAUACCCCAUAAGAUUUUGAGAUGGCAUCAUCUUAUUAUUAAAGAUUUAUCACCUGGAGAUGGGCGUGCGGCUGAUUAGGUAGUUGGCGGGGUAACGGCCCACCAAGCCUUCGAUCAGUAGCUGAUGUGAGAGCAUGAUCAGCCACACGGGCACGUGAGACACGGGCCCCGACUCCUACGGGAGGCAGCAGUAAGGAUAUUGGUCAAUGGGCGCAAGCCUGAACCAGCCAUGCCGCGUGGAGGAUGACGGUCCUCUGGAUUGUAAACUUCUUUUA